rnacentral:misc_RNA from 1 species
GUUCGGCGCUCUCUGUGACGAUUGUUCGCGAUUCAUUGCGCUCGAGCGCGAAUGUGUGACAAAUAGUUCGACAUGAAACAAAUGGACUAGGUCGAUACGGUGAAAAACGGUAUGCACAAUAGUCAGCGUAGAACAAAGAAGAAGAGCAAGAAACAUAAGAAAGCAAUAGGUAUAAUAUAUUUUUAAAAUAAUCAUGCUUUUUUAAUAAAUAAAACUAACUAAAAAGGAAUA